GUUCAGGGAGUUACAUACAAAGGGAAGGACAGUGACGACAGAAGACUCAGAUUUCAGGAGUUGAGGGGAAGGGAUGGGAAAAGGAGUGGACAAGCAUGUGUUGAGCACAUAGUAAACAUUAGGCACUCUACUAUGCUUUUAAAAUACAUCAUGUAGUUAAAUCAUAGUAAUUCUAUCAGCCAGAUAACAUUAUUCCAGUUGUUACAGAUAAGAAAAGUAAAGAGGCUUGCUCAAAGUCACAGAGCUGGCAAUUCGCCUGGUUCUAAACACUUGCAAACUGCUGCUAAGUCUCUCAGUUAUAUCAUGUGAUCACCUCCAUAACAACCCUGUGGGGCAAGCAACAUCAGCUAAAGGGAUUGUAGCUCAGAGAGGCUAAGUGCUGUGCCCAAGGCCACACAACUUGUUUUCUGUGAAGCAGGAGUCUAAAUCCAGAUUAGUUGGCUUCCAAGCUCAUUACAUUAUACCAAUGAAAAUUAAAAAAAAAACAGUUUAAACUUAGUUCUUAUGCAGGGUUUCACAGUCAUAACAAUAAUUUUAAAGAUGUUAAUAAAAUGUUUCUAAAAGGGUAGAAACAAAUCAAGGGUGUGUUUUUGUUGUUGUUGUUUCAGGUAGGAAAAUGGGAUGUUGUGGGACUUUGAUAUUAAUCUUCUUGGCCUGCAUUUACUCAGUGAUGCUCCCAGCAGCUGGAAGACCCUCCCAGUGAGAAGCCCAGAAGAUGUAGUGCCUUCAAGUCUUCAAAGCAGUUAGGAGGGAAAACUUGUUCCUUUUUAGGUGGUUUCUUUCCUUCAAGCGGCCUUAUAAUUUGCCACUCUCCUCUCCCUACACUCUUUACCUGCUGCUUUCAGUCAGUGAAGAACAGUUCAGCCUUGGAAUUGCCCAGGAUUUCGGAACUCCCUAGGGGGACAGGACAGAAAACUGUGCGACUGUGACGUAUACAUUCAUCCAACAAAUAUUUGUUGAGCCCCUACUAUGUGAUAGGGAUGGGAUGGUGAAAAAAUAUAGACAUGGUCCUUGUUUUACUUUGAAUCUGGGGUCAGAUCUCCACCUCACCAAUUGUCUGUGUGAGCUUGGUAAGAUACUUCAUUUCUAGGGUUUCCCUUUCAUCCUCUGUAUAAGGUUGUUGAGG
rnacentral:lncRNA from 10 species